rnacentral:lncRNA from 1 species
GCUACACUGUAAUCCCUAACAGUUGUUCUAGCUCAUAACUAAUAAGCUCAUAACACUCAAAUGUCGUUUUGUAGUUGAGCAAACUAUAAAGUAUUGAGCUCAAUAUUUUUUAGCUAAUUUGUUUGGAACGCUCAAAAAGUUUAAGAAGCAUAUAUUAGUGACGUUCUGGUGGGUGGAGUCUUGUCGCUCCCUCAGGAAAGCUGAGUCAGCCAUCUUGAAUUUACCUUGAUGCGGGGAAGAUUUGGCCAGCCCGUGUGGAUUAAGAGUCCCCAACUUCAACCCACCACGACCACCACCUUAAUUUUUUUCAUCAACUGCCCUAAAUUUGUUUAGAGGGGUAUUCCACUAAGCGAGCUCUACAAGUCAAGGCUGGGCAGUGGGUCCAUGAAUAAACUGCCUCACUCCUGCAGGUGUCUUUCCAUACUUCCCAUCGUUCAAGAACCAAAAGAUGGCUGCUGCAUGUGCUGCGUGUGUAUGUUGAACGAGACACCGCCCUGAAACUUACUCUACUUGAGCGACCAAAGUCAGUGGAGGAGCUGAAAGAAAUAAUUCAAUAGAGGUUCAAGCCAAGACUGAAUGGGGACUUUAGCCUUCACUAUGUCCUCAUGGACACAACCUAUGCCCUAUGUCGCCAAGAAAUUGUUGGAGCUGUUGGAGCUCCACGAGUGAGAGACGUCGUGGACAGAUGGCCAGGCCUACUUAUGGAGUCACAGG